rnacentral:rRNA from 1 species
AACGAACGCUGGCGGCAGGCUUAACACAUGCAAGUCGAACGCAUCCUUCGGGGUGAGUGGCAGACGGGUGAGUAACGCGUGGGAACGUGCCCUUCAGUUCGGGAUAACCCAGGGAAACUUGGGCUAAUGCCGGAUACGUGCGAGAGCAGAAAGAUUUAUCGCUGAAGGAUCGGCCCGCGUCUGAUUAGCUAGUUGGUGGGGUAAUGGCCCACCAAGGCGACGAUCAGUAGCUGGUCUGAGAGGAUGAUCAGCCACAUUGGGACUGAGACACGGCCCAAACUCCGACGGGAGGCAGCAGUGGGGAAUAUUGGACAAUGGGCGCAAGCCUGAUCCAGCCAUGCCGCGUGAGUGAUGAAGGCCUUAGGGUUGUAAAGCUCUUUCGUCCGGGACGAUAAUGACGGUACCGGAAGAAGAAGCCCCGGCUAACUCCGUGCCAGCCGCCGCCGUAA